GCCGCGGUCGCCUAGCCUGGUAGGGCGACGGCUUGCUAAGCCGUUUCGGUUUACACCGAUCGUGAGUUCAAAUCUCACCCGCGGCG
rnacentral:tRNA from 1 species